ACUAACAGGAUCGAGAAUUUGUCGAGAUUGAAACUCCCCAUAAUGGUCAACCAAAUCGACUUUUGUCCACGCCUCCUCUAUCUCCAGCGACAUCUGUCUCAUCUAGCAAUAACCCUUUACGUUCCUGUUGUGGUAGGCGCUGUGGGCGGAAAAAAUAUCAGCAACACAGUGGCGUAGGAACAUCAGAUCAAGACGACGAGCUGAAUGACAGUGAAGUGCGAAUCGUGCCAAUCAAUACGUCUUCCUCUGGUGAAUUGCAUCAUCACAGUAUCGACCUCUGUCCCACACCCAUGAUUGUUGCUCUCAAGUUACCCCCUGGAGGUAGUGGGGUGACUACAACCAUGUCUCAGCCUAGUCCUAACUCUGAAACGGAAGCCACAUUGUCUGUUGAGACGAUGAGCACAGCCACUCCAUCGCCUGGUAACACGAGUACCUGUCCCAUGGUUCGGAUAUCUACACUUUAACAUAGCUGCGGUUCUUGAUGUCUUGGGAUAGCUAAGAAAUGGUCAAGACUGACCGAAGAUGAAGACUCAAAGAGUCUGUAAUUCCAUUGGCUCAAUCUGAGGCUGUACAGUGCAGCAGAAGUCUACCAAGGAUAAUACAAGUCUACCAGGGAUAAUACAAGUCUACCAGGGAUAAUACUUCCAAUAUCCUUGUGUCCCUUUCUGUCGUGUUCUACGUUCUGUUGCUCAAAACGCCGCUUUAUUAAACAUCAAUCAGGGACUUUAUGACUAAAAUAAAAACAACAACCAAACUGGCCUAGAGAGAAACUAGUCCACAACUGAUAAUCAUUUACUUCAAAACUAGAGUGUUCUACUUACAUUAAUUAAAUGUUAAUAUUUUUGUUUCUUUCAAAUCAUGCAUGCUUCUAACAGAAGCUAAGUUUUAAACUAAGAAUCAUGUAGAUGCUAUUGUACAGUAAAAGGUGAAGAAAAUAAUUAAUAAUCCAUUAGCUAAGACAAUUACAGAUAAAACAUAUCAGUAGGAGGCAUCAAUCCGGAACAAACUGUUUAACGUCGUUAUCAGUGACAAUGAUUUAUUACUCAAGCAGAGAAGAAUUAAAACUUUUUUUUAUCCUUUAA